AGAUGGGAGUUAAAAGUUGAAAAAAGACAAAACUACACACGCUGUAUCACAUCACAAAAGUGAAAAUCUCUGAGUUUUUCAGUUCUUUUUAAGGGUGCAACACUUGUUUGGAGACCCGAUUCGCUCACUACAACUUUGCAGUGAAGCCGUAACGUGCAGAUCCACAACGUGGAAACGCUGAAGGUUUCAUUACCUGAAACUGAUGAGAUGAAGUCAGAGAGGAUGAAGCAGCGACUAACCAGUUCAACCAGUAGAAGUGACCACAGCCCAUCUUUUCUCACAGGCAUUUGUAGAGCCUGUUGAUGCGGGCGAUGUCGUUGACGCUCAUCGUUGUGGCCCUUCCAAAGUCGAGGGAAGGAUUAGUUUUGGCCAGGAGAGUCGGUUGGCCAUUUCUGGAGAAGGCAAACCUGGAAGAAGGAGGAAGUGAUGAACAAAAUGCCUCUGCACUCGUAGCCAGACUGAAAACAACAAGCUGUGUGUAACACAGUAGAAGAUGUUCUGCAGACAGAAGUAUUGAGCCACGGUUGUGUGAGUGAGCCGACCUGGGACGAUGUUCUGGGUGAGGACCUGGAUGUAGGAGUCUCUGUCAGAGCGGACCUGUUCGUGGUGGAAGCCCAGAGCGUGGUUGACCUCAUGCUGCACCGUGGAGUGAUACAGGCAGCCAUUGCUCUGCAGAGACACCUGCUGCAGUCCGCCCUGACGGCCCAGGGUAGAAGUAAAGGAAGUCCCGAUGGCUCGAGUCCUUCCAGACAAAGCGAAUGCAGGUGGAGGAGUGGAAGCUCAACAGGCCAUUGAUGAUGACGUUACGCUCUGCCACGGCUGCAAAACGAAACACUCAAAACAUUUUACACCCAGGUCCUAACUGCAAAACAUGUUUGGCAUUUAAACUCCAACACAGACAUCAUGUACUGUUCCCUCUGCCUUCUGAAAUAAACAUGAGGAAACAUGUGAA